rnacentral:rRNA from 1 species
GAUGAACGCUGGCGGCGUGCCUAAUACAUGCAAGUCGAACGAAGCGGGGACGGGUGAGUAACACGUGGAAAACCUCCUCUCAGACGGGGAUAACUUCGGGAAACCGGCGCUAAACCGGAUUAUUAUAGAUGGUACCACGCUGCAUUAGCUAGAUGGUAAGGUAACGGCUUACCAAGGCAACGAUGCAUAGCCGACCUGAGAGGGUGAUCGGCCACACUGGAACGGCGACACGGUCCAUACUCGGACGGGAGGCAGCAGUAAGGAACCUUCGGCAAUGGGCGGAAGCCAGACGGAGCAACGCCGCGUGAGUGAUGAGGGGCUUCGGAUCGUAAAGCACUGUUAUUAGGGAAGCGGUACCUAAUCAGAAAGCCCCGGCUAACUACGUGCCAGCCGCCGCGGUAAUAC